CCUACGCGUGGCAGCAGUGAGGAAUAUUGGUCAAUGGACGGAAGUCUGAACCAGCCAUGCCGCGUGAAGGAGGAAGGCUCUAUGAAUUGUAAACUGCUUUUGUACAAGGAUAAACAUGGAUACGUGUAUUCGGCUGAAAGUACUGUAAGAAUAAGCAUCGGCUAACUCCGUGCCAGCAGCCGCGGUAAUACGGAGGAUCCAAGCGUUAUCCGGAUUUAUUGGGUUUAAAGGGUGCGGAGGCGGAUUGAUAAGUUAGCGGUGAAAUGUCCGAGCUUAACUCGGGAACUGCCUCUAAUACUGUUGAUCUAGAGAGUAGAUGCGGUAGGCGGAAUGUAUGGUGUAGCGGUGAAAUGCUUAGAGAUCAUACAGAACACCGAUUGCGAAGGCAGCUUACCAAUCUAUAUCUGACGUUGAGGCACGAAAGCGUGGGGAGCAAACAGGAUUAGAUACCCGUGUAGUC
rnacentral:rRNA from 1 species